GCCUACUUCAUCCUGAACUGAGGGCUAUUGCUUCCUUUGCAGCACAAGAGUGAGCAGUUCUAGCUCUUCAGCUGCUGUGACGCAUCGGCAGAUAUAUAUUUGUGCAGAACUCUUUUGCCCUCACUAGAAAGCUGGAAACAGCCUUCCUUUAUGCAUAGCAGAGACUGAUCUUUCUUUCGGUGACAUGGCCCUAUGUCUUAUCCUGCAGCAGACUACCCUACAUGUGUUGCCCUGGCAUGAAAGUUUUUCAGGCAAUGGAGACUACUCUGCCUUGAAACAGGGGAGAGAAAACAACUGGAGAAAUAAUGGAAGAGGUGUUUACAGAGUAACCCAAAGCUGA
rnacentral:lncRNA from 1 species